AUUGAACGCUGGCGGCAUGCUUUACACAUGCAAGUCGAACGGUAACAGGCCGCAAGGUGCUGACGAGUGGCGCACGGGUGAGUAAUGCAUCGGAACGUGCCCAGUCGUGGGGGAUAACUACUCGAAAGAGUAGCUAAUACCGCAUACGAUCUAUGGAUGAAAGCGGGGGACCGUAAGGCCUCGCGCGAUUGGAGCGGCCGAUGUCAGAUUAGGUAGUUGGUGGGGUAAAGGCUCACCAAGCCAACGAUCUGAAGCUGGUCUGAGAGGACGACCAGCCACACUGGGACUGAGACACGGCCCAGACUCCUACGGGAGGCAGCAGUGGGGAAUUUUGGACAAUGGGCGCAAGCCUGAUCCAGCAAUGCCGCGUGCAGGAAGAAGGCCUUCGGGUUGUAAACUGCUUUUGUACGGAACGAAACGGCUCUGGUUAAUACCCGGGGCUAAUGACGGUACCGUAAGAAUAAGCACCGGCUAACUACGUG
rnacentral:rRNA from 1 species